rnacentral:lncRNA from 1 species
ACUGGGAGCUGCCUGCAGAGAUGGACAAGCAGGCUCUGAAGCAAUUCCCCAGAGCCUCACCAUUCCUGUUUACUGCUGACCCAGCCUAUUAGGAGCAAAUUACUUCCUGUGCUGCCUGUGGAGCGUGGCCUUGAGAGCCAGGGCAGGGAUGGAAACAGGAUAGAGAACAGCAGCCAUCACCUGUCUGGGUUU